rnacentral:lncRNA from 1 species
CUUGAUCCUUGAAUGCGGAAGAUAUGCUGCUGGCUCUGAUUCGGAUGGGAGAACGAUCUGUGAAGCUCGGGAGGAUGAGAUGCAAUCCGUGGGAGGUACUCAACUUCACGCUGCAGAGAGGACUUGGCAGGGGCUUCGGAAGACGUGGGCAGCCGAAUCGCCGGGAUUCCUGUUGAUGUGGAUGCAGGGGAUGAGCUUGGAUGAGGAUGGAUCACAACGGGAUGAAGGUGGGUUCGGAUUCGUGAGAGGAAAUCUGGGAUACGAGCUAAUCCGGAUUCUGUUUCGAAACAGAGGAAGGUGUUUGGAUGCUGUGAAAUCUGGGACUUGGUUCCGAACGAGAGGGAGAAACGGAAUGGUUGAAUGCGAGCGGAUGUGGAGAGAGCUUGGACGCGAAACAAUGGCUGGGAUCAAACGCGGUUGGCUGACUGUGGGACGCUAGGAGAUUCCAUGGGAU